ensembl:snRNA U6 U6 spliceosomal RNA
AUGCUUUCAGGGAGUCACUUCAACAGCACAUCUACUCAAAUUGGAACAAUACAGAGAUUAAGCAUGACCCCUGCACAAGGAUGACACGCAAAUUCAUGAAGCGUUCCUUAAAAAG